CUCAUCUUCAUCUAGUUUUGGAAAUCUUUGCGUUAUGCACCAUAUUUUUUGUGCAUCAAGGCCUGGCAGAUCAACUUACUCUGAAUACCCAUGAGUUUGCCGUACAUUUGACGGAUGAUAAUGACAAGGGAUACUAUGGAAUAUCUGCUAACAUGGAUGUGUAUGGACACAAUCUUAAUGUCGGACAACUGUCAGCGGGUGCAAUUUGGAUUCAUAACUGGGAAGGUGAUGUUAACAAAAAACUCAAUACAAUUAUUGUUGGUUGGGUGGUUUGGCCAUAUCGAUUUAAUGACUCGCGUACUCACCUUUUUACAUUUUGGACAGUAUGCUUCUUCCUCUUAUUUAAACUUGUGAUAUAUAUAGUCCACAAAAAGUGGGUGAAUCUUAUUAUUUUUCUAAGAUUUAUAUUUUGAAGGUAACAUGAUUUUAGAGAACUUUGAGAUAAACUAAGUUGAUAGAAUGAUUGGAUAAACUACUUCUCUAGGUGUUCUCAAACAAGCAAAAUAAUUAGGAGUUGGUUUUGCGUAAAUGCUUGACAAUGAUAAUAAAAUAAUAAGGGGAAACUCAAAGAUAGAGGUAGCAUUGUC